rnacentral:rRNA from 1 species
UAGGGAAUCUUCGGCAAUGGACGGAAGUCUGACCGAGCAACGCCGCGUGAGUGAAGAAGGUUUUCGGAUCGUAAAGCUCUGUUGUAAGAGAAGAACGAGUGUGAGAGUGGAAAGUUCACACUGUGACGGUAUCUUACCAGAAAGGGACGGCUAACUACAUGCCAGCAGCCGCGGUAAUACGUAGGUCCCGAGCGUUGUCCGGAUUUAUUGGGCGUAAAGCGAGCGCAGGCGGUUAGAUAAGUCUGAAGUUAAAGGCUGUGGCUUAACCAUAGUACGCUUUGGAAACUGUUUAACUUGAGUGCAAGAGGGGAGAGUGGAAUUCCAUGUGUAGCGGUGAAAUGCGUAGAUAUAUGGAGGAACACCGGUGGCGAAAGCGGCUCUCUGGCUUGUAACUGACGCUGAGGCUCGAGAGCGUGGGGAGCAAACAGGAUUAGAUACCCUGGUAGUCCACGCCGUAAACGAUGAGUGCUAGGUGUUAGACCCUUUCCGGGGUUUAGUGCCGCAGCUAACGCAUUAAGCACUCCGCCUGGGGAGUACGACCGCAAGGUUG